CUGAAAUGAAGACCCUCAUGCUAAAAUGGAGUACUCUUGAUGCUGGAGUGGAAUCUCCAGUGCAGAAGUGAAGACUUCUGAAGCUGAAAGUAAAUCCCCUCAUGCUGAAUUGACGUCUCCUCAAUGCUGAAGUAAUGUCUCCUUAUGCUGAGGUGAAGUCCCCCUUACACUUAAUUGAAGUACCUUUAAUGGUAAAGUGAAAUCCCUUCAUUCUGAAGGGAAGUCCCCUCAUGCUGAAGUGGAGUCCCCUCUUGAUAAAGUGAAGGUCCUUUAUGUUAAAAUGGAGUACCCUCGUGCAGAAAGGAAGUCCUCUUAUCCUGAAGUGAAAUCCUCUCAGUGCUGAAGUGGAAUUUCCUCAUGCUGAAUGGAAGACCCUUCACACUGAAGUUAAGUUCCCUCCCACUGAAGUGGAGUACUGUCAAUGCUGAAAUGGGUCCCUUCAAUGGUGAGGUGGAUUCCCCUCAGUUCUGAUGUAAAGGAUCCUCAAUGCCUAAGUGAAGUCCCUUCAAUGCUAAAGUGAAUUCCACUUGAUGCUGAAGUCCAUCAUGUUGAAGUUCCUCUUGCUCAAGUGAAAUCACAUCGCACUGAAUUGAAGUCACCUCAUUCUUACGUGAAGUCCCUUCAUGCUGAAGUGGAAUCCCUUAACCCUAAAGUGAAGUCCCCUCAAUGCUGACCUUAAAUUUCCUCAAUGCUGAAGUGAAGACCUCUCAUAUUAAAGUGGAAUCCUCUUGAUGCUGAAAUUGAUUCCCCUCAAUGCUAAAGUACAAUACCUUCAUGCUGAAGGGAAGGCCCCUCAUGCUGAACUAGGGUCCUCUCAAUGCUGUUGUGAAGUCUCCUCAAUGCUGAAGUAGAAUCCCCUCAUGCUGAAGUUAAAUUUCCUCAUGCUGAAUUGGAGUACCCUCACUGCUGAAGUGGAGUACACUUAAUGGUGAAGUAAAGUUCCCUCAGUGCUAAAGAAGAAUCUCCUCAUGCUGAAGUGAAGAAGAACCCUGAUGCUAAAGGUGAGCCCCUUCAUACUGAAGUGGAAUCCCUCAAGCUAAAAUGGAAAUUCCUCAUGCUGAAAGUUAGUCCCCUCACACUGAAGUGAAGUCCCCUUAUUCUGAAGAUUAAUUCCCUUUCAUGUUGAAUCAAAGUCUGAGCAUGCUAAAGUGACCUCCAUUCGUUCUCAAGAAAAGUCCUCUGAAUGCUGAACAGAAUCCCCUCAUGAAGUGAAGGUCCCUCAUGCUAUAGUGAAGUCUCCUCAUGCUGAAAUGGAAUUCCCUCAUGCUGAAUGGAAGAAUUUGCAUGCUGAAAAUAAGUCCACACCUGCUGAAGUAAAUUAUGGUCAAUACUGAAAUGGAUCCCCUCAAUGCUGAAGUUGAGU
rnacentral:lncRNA from 1 species